ensembl:lncRNA
UGUUGCGGCGGGUGUUUGUUCUCCAACUGAAGAGAAAUACCCACAAGCUGAUGUGUUCCUGGCCGAGAGAGAGAGAGAGAGAAGCCAGUUGUUGGACAAGAUGGCUGUCAGAAGUCUUUAACUUGUGUGGGAACGUGGCCCUGCUCCAGAGUCUGGCUGUGUUUACCUUGAGGAGCUCAGCCUGGAAAGUGAUUCGGGACGUAUGUUUCACCGAGAGCUGGGGUGAUGGAUCUCUGCUGCUAGAGGGCUGCUGGCAGCAAGAUGUUGGAGGUGUGUGUGUGUGUGUGUGUGUGUGUGUGUGUGUGUGUGUGUGUGUGUGUGUGUGUGUGUGUGUGUGUGUGUGUGUGUGUGUGUGUGUGUGUGUGUCAGUGAGUUAAAGUAGGUGUGCGUGCAGGUGUAUGUGUGUGUGUGUGUGUGUGUGUGUAUGUGAGAGAGUGUAGGUGUGUGAUGAUUUAUUUUCCUCCUCUUGUAGUCAAAGGUUAGAGUUUCCCAGUUAAGGUCAGACCUUUUUAGAAGUGUGUGCUACAAUGACCUGUGAUCUGGCGGUUUCAUCAAACCAGGCUAGCUCUGCCGCUAAAACGGGCUCACAUCUGAAAGCCAUAUCUUGGCUUAUAUCCAAUACCAGUAUCAGGCUAAACUUGGAUCCAGAAGUCUGACCAUGCUAUAGCUAACAUUUUCCCUUGCCUCUGCAGGGAGAUAGCAGGUGAGAGGGGUGGAGGUCACGCAGGGUUUCCUGUUUACAUAUACAGGUCUACAUCAGCUGCGUCAGUGGUGAUAGCGGUGUAGAAGUCGUUCUCACGUAUGCCAACAGGUCCCGUUAACUCUAAGAGCGAGAGCGUAUUCUGAUUCCUCGUCCAAGUUCUUGCCUAGUCGUCAUUUGACGACUAGGCAAUUCUUUUUUUUUAAUUCUUUUUUUUAAAUCGAAGCCAUGACCACAUAAUCAACACAUUAUUUGUACCGUUCCAUCCAAUCGAUGGUCAGCUAUAUCACAUUUGUUGUCGGUCAGACAGUCAGGUUGUUGGUUCUUUUAAAUACAGUUGAAAGAAAGUUAAACGCCCCAUUAACACUGAUUUGAGCUGGGUCUGCAAAACUAAAACUAAAACUAAAAUCUGUGUAAAUGGCAUGUUUCACUUUCUUUCUUUGUGAGACUGUAAUCAUGUCCAUACCCUAUACUGCUACUAGUCAUCAACCUGAUGAAUGCAUGCAGUAUUAGCCAGAUACUAGCAGAGUGAUGUGUCGGCGAGUAUUGGUUAUAGGCUAGAUAGUUUUCCGGGAAGUUAUCACCAUUGGUAUAGAGUUGCUAUCGAUAGAUUAGCCUGAUUGCUGUUUGGAAUGUUUGCCUGAUAGUUGCUUGGAAUAUUAUCAAUGAUUAGUAUCAUUUAUUAGCCCUAUAGCGGCAUAAUUUGCGCCUUGUUCGUCUUUACAAAAGAUAAACAAUUCCAGCUCACCCGUAACCCUUUCAGACACCCACACAGCGUUUAUUUGAUUAGAUUUGACCUGGACACUUCUAUGUUUCUAUUCAUCUGGAAACACCACUUUAGAAAUUGCCAUAAAAGUAUGGCAAUGUUGACGAUAUCUGAACUAAACCUUUCUACCCCACGAAGUGAUCUCCUGUCAUGGAUUCCUCUGGGAAUUUUUUUUCCACAUCUCCCAAUAACCUUUAGAGAUUGUAAAGGAUUAAACCAGAAUUUGAUGAAUAGCUAGCAGCAAUAGCACGUUUGGAAACUUAGUAUGUUGGGGUACCUAGUAUGUGAGGUUACUUAACAUGUUAUCAGAAUAAAGCAUGUUAGUCAAUUUAGCAUGUAAGGGUACCAAGCAUUUUUGCUCUCCUGUGUGGGCCGUACACUAUAUUCAUAUUGUCCAGGUAUCGUUAGGAGGCUAAAUGCAGGCUAGGCUACACACUGCAGAUGGCUAGCAGGGGAAACAUACAUUGUCCCCCCCGGGGCAUGAUAUCCUGAUUAACAAAACAAAGGCUUCAAAGAGGACACAGGGAUAGGGUGCUGACGGCCUG